AAUUCAUAUUUGGAUUAUGGUUUAGUGAUUAGAAUUUAGGGUUUAGUAUUAGAAGGUGAAGGUGUAUGGUUGGGAUCAUCAUUAAUUUAUUCCAUGUAAUCAUAGACAUUUCAUAAUUUCACUAAUAUAUACUAUGUUAUUUAUUUUGUUCUAUUAUAUUUGGGUUAGAGUUUAUAUUUGGGUUUAGGGUGUAUAUUUGGGUAAGAGUUUAGUGAUUAUAAUUUAUAGUUUAGUAUUUUGAAAGUGAGAGAGUAUGGUUGGGGUCAGCAUUAACUUCUUCCAUGCAAUCAUAGACAUUUCAUAAUUUAAUCAAUAUGUAUUAUGUUAUUUAUUUUGUUCUAUUCUAUUUGGGUUAGAAUUUAUAUUUGGAUUUAGGAUUUAUAUUUGGGUAAGGAUUUAGUAAUUAUAAUUUAGGGUUUAGUAUUUAAGGGCUGAGGUGUGAUUUGAACAAAGUUUGGUAUCUAGGGUUUAGGGUUGGUAUAUGUUUAGUUUACGGAUUGUAGGUGAAGUUAUAAUCAUAUACUACUUCAGUUAUAUGGAAUAGAACAUUCGGUGUAUAUGUAUGUGACUAAUAAAGUUGUAACGUGGAUAACUCCUUCUUUCUAAUGAAAUAUUUUUAGACAUAUUUGACCAUGUAUUUCAUA
rnacentral:lncRNA from 1 species